rnacentral:rRNA from 1 species
GACGAACGCUGGCGGCGUGCUUAACACAUGCAAGUCGAACGGAAAGGCCCUGCUUUUGUGGGGUGCUCGAGUGGCGAACGGGUGAGUAACACGUGAGUAACCUGCCCUUGACUUUGGGAUAACUUCAGGAAACUGGGGCUAAUACCGGAUAGGAGCUCCUGCUGCAUGGUGGGGGUUGGAAAGUUUCGGCGGUUGGGGAUGGACUCGCGGCUUAUCAGCUUGUUGGUGGGGUAGUGGCUUACCAAGGCUUUGACGGGUAGCCGGCCUGAGAGGGUGACCGGCCACAUUGGGACUGGGAUACGGCCCAGACUCCUACGGGAGGCAGCAGUGGGGAAUAUUGCACAAUGGGCGGAAGCCUGAUGCAGCAACGCCGCGUGCGGGAUGACGGCCUUCGGGUUGUAAACCGCUUGCGCCUGUGACGAAGCGUGAGUGACGGUAACGGGUAAAGAAGCACCGGCUAACUACGUG